CUUGGAUUAAAAUCUUCAAGAAAGUCUGCACUAUGUGUUUGCGUUGAUCCUCACUAAACUAGACCACCUCAUGACACGGCUGAGCACUGAGCCCCAGGCCAUGUGACGGAGUGAAGGUAGGUGCCAUUACAGAUGGCUUGUUUGAGCACCCAGGCGUCAUUCAGCCUGCCUCAGGUUCACCGAUUGUCCAAGUCUUUGCUGAUCUUUAGAUUAGUCUUGAGGCAGCAGAGGCAAGACAGCCAACAUGGCGGCGACCAGAGCCACCAAACAUGAUUGGCUAUAAUACUGGAGCACGAGAAUGAUAAUUGCUACGUCAACACCACCACCAGCAGCACCCCCCUCUUACAGUAGAGGAGGAAAGACUGUAGCUCAUCCUCCAACUAGCCGUGCCUCCUUCAACAAUAACAACAACAACAACAACAACAUGAGUAAAGCCACCAGUCCAAUUAGACGUGAGACUGUGACAGCAAGAUCGGGUACGCCUGACACCCUCCGUCAUUCACACCUUUAUUAUAUCACACACCGCCAGUAAUGAGAACUCCACCAGGGUGACGGUGUUAAUGAUGAUGAAGGCGUCACGUUUUCAUCCUCUCUAUCUGCCUUCGGAUCUGCAGUGGUCAUGGCUCUCAGUACGCCUUGAUCCAUGUGGUGCUUUGUGGCUCCCUGACUGUGGUCAACAGGAAAUGAGGAAGGGGUGAAUCACACUGGGAACACUGCAGUGUCCUCACCACACAUGUUAAUAAAGCCUUUGUGUGAAGACUUAAUGUGAUUUCGAAGAAGUCUCCACUACUUCAUCGUAAACACGAUGAGUGGUGGAGUGACCGCACAUUAUCAGUCUUAUUUUUAUCCUGUCUUUUUAUAUUUAGUAUGAGUAUGAAAAUCUUUCACGAUCACUCACACAUUAAGGAAAGAUAUAUUGAGUUCUUUGGCUGAACUGAAACUAAGCAGCUUGUAUGCUGCACACGCAGCGUUCCCUCUGCACUGCUCUGUAUGAACAAAUAUUUCA